CAGACCCAUUUAUUCCGGGAAGCGCCCGCCCGGUGUCCAGGCAGAAGGCGAAGCGAGAUCCGCUCGGCGGAGGCCUCAGCCCACCUGCUUCGCCGGGCGAGGCUCCCUUCCUGCGGGCCCCGAAGGAGCCCCGCCACGAGAUCUCUCGGUCGCCCUGGCGGCGCCGGAGGAGAGAGAGCGGCCCUGGCCCUGACCCUUGGCGGCAGCUCCCCGGGGCAGCAGCGGCUCUCGGGCGGCGCUUCGGGAUCCAUGGCGGCCGCCGCCUGGUCGGAGCGGGUCAAGGCGCUGCUGCGGAGGAUGAACUCUUUCCACGGAGCAGGUUCUUCAAAGGUUUUGUGCCUGCCAUUUAUGGUUGCUGGACAGCAGGUGGGCCACAUGCCGCCAUCUGUAGCCAAAUAUCUCCGUCAGUAUCCAGCUGUUUUCUCGGUGUCUCAGGGUGACGGUGUGCCUGCUUGCGUGGAACUUAACAAAAAGCUGGCAUCCUAUGAGCAAAGAACAAAUGCUGUGCAAGGAGUACUCAGGGAAAUGAGAGCACAAGAAGCCUUUCCUUGCCUGAAGGAGUGGAGAGAGGAGCUCUACAGUGUGAUGCCCUAUUUUUGUGACACGCCUCUCUUCAGCAUGGAGCGCUCUGCAACUUCAUUGUUUGGAGUGAAGUGUUAUGGCGCCCACCUGAACGGCUACACUUGGCGCAAUGGGCAGAUGUUCAUGUGGUUGGCCAGGAGGGCCCUGAGCAAACUGACUUAUCCUGGCUUGCUGGACAACAUGGCUGCUGGGGGCAUUGCAUCAGGGUUGGGGGUCAGAGAGACGCUGGUGAAGGAAAGCCAGGAAGAAGCUUGCAUCCCUGCUUCUCUCACUGCACUUGCCAAAGCUGCCGGAACUAUCAGCUAUACCUAUGAGGGUGCACAGGGAGGCAUCUAUGCUGAAUGCCAGUUUGUAUUUGACCUGAAGUUGCCUGAAGGUUUUGUGCCCCAGGUGGGAGACGGAGAGGUGCAGCAGUUCUACCUCUGGCCACUUGAGAAGGUGAAAGAGGCCAUUGGAUCUUCAGAUUUCAAGCCCAACUGUGCAAUGGUGGCUCUGGAUUUCCUUAUCAGACAUGGCUACAUCCAACCUGAUGGAGGUAGGCAGCAGAAGAAAGGUGGCUUGUCUGAUAAGAGGGAAUUUACGUAUGAGGGCGAGAAGGGGGCUCGCUCUGUAUAGGUGUGUAUGCAUCACUGCACCAUGGCUAGAAACAGACUCUUCUAAUAGAUUUCACUUUUCUUUCAGAACCUCAUUAUGUAGAGCUGGUGGAAGGGCUACACCGAACACUCUAGAAGGAAAAGGCUGCCCUUGUGGUUGACACAGGUCUUCUCUGUUGGUUCGUUUUUGCUGGAACAGUGAUCAUGGCAUGGACUUCAGUUGGAUUCAACAAUGGCUGCCCCAGCAGAGUUAUGUGCAGAGCUUGUGGCUCGACAGGUUACUAUGGAAGAACCACAGGGACAUGGUGGGACUUACACAGUGGCUGGUGUGACAGCUGAAUACUUCCUUUUCUUGGGUUCUGGUGGCUCAGGAACACCAUACUUUUCC